CCUCCCUCCUCCUCCUGGGAGGAUGGAAACAGAUCAGAACCUCAAACCAAUCCUUGCACUGGCAGGAACUCAAAAGGUAGACUUGGGAGGGGUUGGAGGAAGAUAUAAAGGCUGGUAGCUGGAGACACAGACCAGCACUGAACUGGAGAAACUCAAGGAGAGGAGGAAUCAGAGACACCAAAACAUGAAGAUGAACCUGAAACUUCCGUUUUGCCCUGGACUCCUGCUGCUGCUUAUUGUCCGUCAAAACCAGGCAAUGGCCAGGCCCAUUUUCAGCUUACAGAGCCUAUCCAAGCUGUUAGAUGAGGACCUGGAGCAUCCCCUGGUCUCAGAAGAGACAGACCAUGAGCAAGACGACAUGAUCCUAACAGGUCCCUUUGAUCAGCAAGGCACUGAAUUCCAGUGGACCCGAAACACUAGGGAACAGCCUGAGAGCAUGUCCAUGGAUGAUAGUGCCGUCCAGAGGUUCUUCAGCAGCCUCCUAAGUUUACCCCAUAGAUACCAAGGCAGAAGCAAAAAGGGUCUCUCCAGGGGCUGUUUUGGUGCCAAGCUGGACAGAAUUGGGUCACUGAGUGGACUGGGAUGCUAACUGCUUACUAUGGACUGACUUGGAGGUUUCAAAGGACCUGUUGCCUUUCAGUGAGAUAUUCAGCCCUUAUUCACAUUGGCUCCACCAAUCCAUCCACUACAUGAUGUACUGAGCAAACUGCACCCCCCCAUCCCCCCCGAAUUACUUGGCCAAUUGAAUACACCAUUGCUGUACUGCCUAUUUGUAUCACAGUAAUAUUUUGUGAACAUCUAUCUGAAAUUUGAUUACAGAAAACAUUUGUACUGUGUACUAAAUGUAUAAAUAAACAAGUUUCAUUAUGGCACAGAUAAUAAACUGUUUUCCC